rnacentral:sRNA from 1 species
AGUGCUUCUCUAACAAGGAGGAUGUGUGGAUGUCUCCUAGGGAGGAGAAAGUGGGACAGGAAAGGUGGGAGCUUCUUGCUCUUGGGAACAACUAGCGGCGGGAACCAAGGCCAGAAACCUGGACAACCUCACUUCCAGUCACCCAGGCUGGGCCUUGGGACCAGUUUCCAGAAUGUCGGGUCACCCUGCGGCAUUCCCGCAGCAGGCGGCAGGCGCCUAGCCCUAGCUCGGCGUCUAGGAAGCAGCGCUGCGGGACGCCCGCCCGGCUCCGGGACCGCGGGAGGUACAGCACAUGGGAACCAGAGGAAAACAUUCUGGAUGCUCGCUUGCUCGCAGCCUUUGAGGAAAGGGAAAGAGAGAUGGAGCUCUAUGGCCCCAAAAAGCGUGGACCCAAGCCCAAAACCUUCCUCCUCAAAGCGCAGGCCAAGGCAAAGGCCAAAACUUACGAGUUUCGAAGUGACUCAGCCAGGGGCAUCCGGAUCCCCUACCCUGGCCGCUCGCCCCAGGACCUGGCCUCCACUUCCCGGGCCCGGGAGGGCCUUCGAAACAUGGGUUUGUCCCCGCCAGCGAGCAGCACCAGC